GCAGAUAUUUUGUGUCCAUUCGAAUCCUCAAUCUCUAAUGUGAAGUGUCAUACUUUUUCCACUCAAAUUGGAAACUCCUAGCCUUUGAUGUGGCCAACCCCAGCUCACGGUAUAGACGGGUAUGGUUGAAUCAGUUCAAUUUUUUUGACUCAUGUUUUGGCAGAUCUUUUGUGUCCAUUCGAAUCCUCAAUCUCUAAUGUGAACUCUCACACUUUUUCCAAUAAAAUUGGACACUUCUAGCCUUUUAUGUGGCCAACCCUAGCUCACGCUACAGACAAGUGUUGUUGAAUCCGUUUAGUUUUCUUGACUCAUGUUUUGGCAGAUAUUUUGUGUCCAUUCGAAUCCUCAAUAUCUAAUGUGAUGCUUCAUACUUUUGCCACUCAAAUUGG
rnacentral:lncRNA from 1 species